rnacentral:lncRNA from 1 species
GGCUGGAAUUCUGCAAUGUAUCUUUCGUCGUAGAGAUGAAAACUUUGUGACGAAAGGUUUAUGCAGCAAUAUAGGAACAGUUUUUUUUUUUUUUGUAUUUUCGAAUAAGGAUAACUAAAUUGUAGCAGUAGUAAGGUAGGAAACCAGAACCUGUUGCAAUUCACGGGGAGAUCAAAGGAUGAUCCACGGUGGUGGAGAUGAUGGCGGAAUUCGGCGACGAUCUUUUAAACAAUUGUGGGAAUUGCUUUGGGAGGUUGUGGAGGGCUGAUGGAUGG